UACGAAGGGGGCUAGCGUUGCUCGGAAUCACUGGGCGUAAAGCGCACGUAGGCGGAUUGCUAAGUCAGGGGUGAAAUCCUGGAGCUCAACUCCAGAACUGCCUUUGAUACUGGCGACCUUGAGUCCGGGAGAGGUGAGUGGAACUGCGAGUGUAGAGGUGAAAAUUCGUAGAUAUUCGCAAAGAACACCAGUGGCGAAAGGCGGCUCACUGGCCCCGGUACUGACGCUGAGGUGCGAAAAGCGUGGGGGAGCAAAC
rnacentral:rRNA from 1 species